UCAGCCUGGCAGAGGCAUGUGAGCAGCACCGCCCAGCCCACCGCCCUCGGGGCUCCAGACCCCACGUGCCUGUGAGUGUCUGCGGGGAGCUGGGCACCAGCCGCCCGCUUCCUCUGGCGGGCCGCCCACCUGGCCUCCCCCCGACUUUCUGUCUCUCCCCUCCCCGGUGUCGGUGCAAACAGCUUGAUGAAAGAGCCCGUGCCUGUUUCACUCCUGGCUGGUUGUCCUGGAUUCGCUGGUUCAUCUAAGAAGCAGGGAGAAGUCAGCCACUCCCCAGAUAAGCAGGAGGAAUAACGAGCACACACUGCAAAUUGAGAAAUAUUUUUAAAGGUGAGGGGAGUAUUAAAUACACAAGACAUUUCCACUUUUCCACUGUUAUAAAGCAUGCGGCAUUGAACAUCCUCCUACGUUUGUUUGCGGCCUGGUGUCUGUUCCCUGGGGGCAUUCUAGGCCUUUCCACUUCAUAACAGAGAUGGUCUUCCUGACAGCUGUGCCCCGGGGUUCCUGCCAGCAACGUGUGGGCGUGGACUCAAGGCACUCCCGGCGGCUGGCGUGUCCGGGACGUUCUCCGGAGGUGACAUCAGGGGCGACCCCAGAAGCUCAGUCUGCAGGCCAAGGAUGCGAGAGCUGGUGCUGCGACCAAGGGACCUGCCGUCAGAGCAGACGGGCACCCUGGGCACUCAUGCUGUUGGGCAGCCGUCCCCACACCUCCAGAACCUCUCCAUCCUCCCAAACUGAAGCUCUGUGCUCUUUAAACACUGGCUCCCCAUUCUCUGCCCCCCAGCCCUGGCCCCUACCAUGCUACUCUCUGUCUCUAUGCUCCGGCGACUCCAGGGGCCUCAGAUCCAUGGGGUCACACAGCGUGUGUCCCCUGCCUGGCCCAUUCCACUCAGCAUAACACCCUCAAGGUUCGCCCACUGUCACCUGGGUC